ensembl:snRNA U6 U6 spliceosomal RNA
GUUCUGCACAUGUAUCCCAGAACUUAAAGUAAAAUCUAAAAAAAAAAAAAGAAUAUUUUAAAAAAACAAACAAGUAUUCACUUGGGCAGGUCACAUACUGAAAUUGGAGUUAGCACGGCCCCUGUGCAAGGAUGACAAGCAAAUCUGUGAAGCGUUCAUAUUUUUG